GACGAACGCUGGCGGCGUGCUUAACACAUGCAAGUCGAACGGAAAGGCCCUGCUUUUGUGGGGUGCUCGAGUGGCGAACGGGUGAGUAACACGUGAGUAACCUGCCCUUGACUUUGGGAUAACUUCAGGAAACUGGGGCUAAUACCGGAUAGGAGCUCCUGCUGCAUGGUGGGGGUUGGAAAGUUUCGGCGGUUGGGGAUGGACUCGCGGCUUAUCAGCUUGUUGGUGGGGUAGUGGCUUACCAAGGCUUUGACGGGUAGCCGGCCUGAGAGGGUGACCGGCCACAUUGGGACUGAGAUACGGCCCAGACUCCUACGGGAGGCAGAAGUGGGGAAUAUGGCACAAUGGGCGGAAGCCUGAGGCAGCAACGCCGCGUGCGGGAUGACGGCCUUCGGGUUGUAAACCGCUUUCGCCUGUGACGAAGCGUGAGUGACGGUAAUGGGUAAAGAAGCACCGGCUAACUACGUG
rnacentral:rRNA from 1 species